CAGCAUUCAGUUAAUAUUUCUGCUGCAUUCUGAGAAUCUGGAAUGGCCUCUAAGAAGGAAUGGUUUGGAUGGCCCCACUCUUUAGCAACUUGGACCAGUGUCUUGGUUUUCUUCCUCAUUCACAUUUAAAGGCAUCCCAGGGAAGACAACUACAAAAGCAGCAACUGAGACUAUCUAAGCAUUUGAUGUCUCCUUGCAAACCAGACCAGAGCGUUUUAAGAAUUUAGGUACAAAAAGUCCCCAAUCAAAUUCAAUCAGCAUUUUUGUUUGUUUCUUCUCUGGUAAUCCAAGAUGGACUACCUUUGGUUGUUCCCCUUUCUCCCACCUUCAGCUUGAGGCUGGUUGCAUCUUCCUAGAGCUCAGCCUUUAGCACUCAGAUCCUGCCUCAGUGACUUGACUAUGCUGCCCUUGGUGAGUCAUCCAGCCCUUCAGAGCCUGUUUUUUCACCUGUAAGGAGGGGAUAACAAUCAUGCAGUACAGUUGUUACUAGAUGAAAGUGAAGCGCCUACCUCCUGCCAG
rnacentral:lncRNA from 1 species